GAUGAACGCUGGCGGCGUGCCUAAUACAUGCAAGUCGAGCGAACGGACGAGAAGCUUGCUUCUCUGAUGUUAGCGGCGGACGGGUGAGUAACACGUGGAUAACCUACCGAUAAGACUGGGAUAACUUCGGGAAACCGGAGCUAAUACCGGAUAAUAUUUUGAACCGCAUGGUUCAAAAGUGAAAGACGGUCUUGCUGUCACUUAUAGAUGGAUCCGCGCUGCAUAGCUAGUUGGUAAGGUAACGGCUUACCAAGGCAACGAUGCAUAGCCGACCUGAGAGGGUGAUCGGCCACACUGGAACUGAGACACGGUCCAGACUCCUACGGGAGGCAGCAGUAGGGAAUCUUCCGCAAUGGGCGAAAGCCUGACGGAGCAACGCCGCGUGAGUGAUGAAGGUCUUCGGAUCGUAAAACUCUGUUAUUAGGGAAGAACAUAUGUGUAAGUAACUGUGCACAUCUUGACGGUACCUAAUCAGAAAGCCACGGCUAACUACGUG
rnacentral:rRNA from 1 species